UGUUAAUGGUGUUUUUCAGUAAAUUUUGGAACACAGCUAAGGUUAUGCCAAUAUUUAAGAAGGGGAUUACCCGGCUAAUUAUAAGCCUGGCAGCCAAGAUAACAGAGCAGCUGAUACAGGACUUCAUUAAUAAAAGAGGGUAAUAUAACAAUGCCACUCAACAUGGGUUUAUGGAUGAUAAUAAUAGAGCCUGUCAAAUUAACUUGAUAUUUUUCUUAUGAGAUUACAAGUUUGGUUGAUGAAGGUAAUAGUAUUAUAUAACAAACGUCUGUAAAACAUUUUACUUGAUACCACAUGAGACCCACCAGUUUUUAAUCAAGAUGUCAACAUGUAAUUGUAAACAGGGAAUCAUCAUUGAGCAGCUGUGGAUCUAGUGGCAUGCCACAGGGCUCGGUUCUUCUUAGAGUAGCGUCCCUAUGGGUGCUCCACUGUAGGUGUGGUUGCAUCCCUGUGCUGCUAAUUGGACACUUGGACAGCAGCAUCCAUUAGACCCACAAAUGCACUGUCUCUCCUUGUGCUGUGCUCUGAAGCUAACCAGCGGACGUGAGCUAACCACUGCCCGUUACUAGAGACAGAACCCUUAGUAGUCUGUUAAGACUAUUGUUUCAUUUUACAUAUCUGCAGUUAGUCUGAGUUGUAGUUGUAGUCUUCUUCUCCUUUCUAAUUUUACCCUUGAAAAGUUCCUUUAAUUUCUUUCCUGCUUUUUCUCCCCCCACGGGGGUAUCGCUAGGCUUCAAAAAGUGCCUCACCUGUAAAGAAGCAAUCCCAAGAGCAGACAAGCACUCCCAGUUCCUUCGCUGCCUCAGGGAAGGUCACAUACAGCAAAAGUGUGAUCUUUGCCACCAGAAGAUCAUCUUCAUGGAGGUGACUCUCUGACCCCAGUUAGAUGCCCAGUUUGCUGCAGGUGGAAUGCACCAGAUCGAGGCUCCUUUGCACCUGCUCUGGAGACCUGCCCUUGAUGAGAGAGUCAUUGAGAUACUGGAAGAUCUGGACUCCUUGAUGAGACAGUCAUUGAGAUACGGGAAGAUCUGGACUCCUUGAUGUCUCAGAUCCUUGAUGGGGCUGCCAUGGUCUUGGCAGCAGUCGGAAGGGCCUUCUGGCUGAUUGCGACAUGUGCAUGCCCAACGAGUGAAGAGUAGCCCUAGUGUCCUUCAAGCCAUGCAGCCUGGCAUCCAUUUGUGUGAAGAAAAGACAGACUCCAUCAAAAGGGAGGUCCUGAAUCGAGGUCUGCAUCUCCUGGGAGAAGCCUGGCAUUUGGAGCCAGGAGCUGUGUUGCAUGGCCACUGCUGAGGUGAUCUUCUAGCUGCUGAGUCCGCCACGUCCCAUGCCAUCUUGCAGGGAGCAUCUGGCCGCCAUAAUACCCUCCUCUACCAGGGUCAGACCCUGAAGGAGGGAUUCCUGGAACUUUUUGAGACCAUCCCAGAGAUUGAAACUAUCUGCCAAACAGGGCCUGAUGGUUUGCCACCCGGAGAAUUGCAGGCUGGCGGUUGAAUAAACUUUUCUCCCAAAUAAAUCGAGCCUCUUGGCCUCUGUUUCUAGGAGUCAAGGAGGUGUGACCCUGUUUGUCCUCGUUGGCCGCAGACACAACCAGCUAGCCCGGGGGUGAGUGAGUAUAAAGGUAUUUAAAAUCUUUGGCUGGAACGAAAUACUUUUUCUUGGCCCAUUUCGAGGUGGAAGGAAUAGAGGAGGGGGCCUGCCACAGGACCUUGGCUAUCUUGACAACCCCUUCAUGCAUGCGCAGGGAGACAUGAGUGGGCAUAGAGGCAGAGAGGAUAUUGAAGAGACUGUCCUUCUGCUCUGCCAUCUCCUGCAUCUCAAGCUCCAAGUUCUCAGCCACGCACCAGAGAAAGGCUUGAUGCUUCCUGAAGUCAUCCUAGGGGCUAGCUCUCAAAGCUAACUCCCGUGACUGCCUCAUCCGGGGAUGAUAAGGAAGAUUGGACCACUGGGGGAAAUUUAGCCAGAUCUGUUUAGCAGAUCUGGCAUGUAAAUACCUUGCAGUGCCGGCUACAAAAGUGCCAUGCAAAUGUCUGUUCUCAGGUGACACUGUAAAUAAGAAGCAGGCAGCAUUAUCUCCCAUAUAUGUAAACAAGCUGGUUUCCCUUAGCCAUUGUCUGAACAAGAAGUAGGAUUGAGUGGACUUGUAGGCUCUAAAGUUUUACAUUGUUGUUUUUUUGAGGGCAG